UUUCCUUCUUUCCCAUGGCAUGGUUCCAUUUUCCAAAACCGCCCCACGUUGUUUGCGCCGGACAUGGAACAAACAGAGAGACCGAAGAGAAGCGCGGCGGCCAUGCCUACUGUGGUUGGAUCUAGACGAGGGGGUUGCCACCAGCCCCGUUCAUUGCGCCGGCCAUAGAAGAGAGACAGAGAUCGAAGGGAAGCACGACGGCGAUGCGGUUCAUUGCGAUGGACACCGAGGCCCGGGCGUCGCGGGUGCGGCGACCUGGCUGCGGCCGCUGUCGCCGACCCACUCCACGCGCGGCCUGCCCUUCCUCGAGGCUCACCGCACGAGCAGAGGCGUGGUAGCGGCCAAGACGAGAACUAUGGGAAGCUGAAGUCGCCUGCGUGUUUGUGUUCAUCACAGGUGCUGUCUCUUUUCCAUCUUUUUUUUUUUGUACUUCAUCCGAUGAUCAGUGACUACUAAUUCCCAUGUCAACAUAAGGAAGAAGCAUGGUGUCCGCCGCCGGCGACAUGGACGCAUGCGGGGGAAUAGCCGCAGAUUCAGGUCCUUCUAUCGGUCUGUUGUGCCUUGAAGUUUGCGUUCAUCUUUGAGAAAUUCCGCCGCAUCCUCAGUCAUAUGUAUGUUUUGAUCUAUUUUUCAUGUUGUUUUCUUGGGUCUUUGUUCUUGGUUAUUGGGCGUGGAGUGCUCUCUACAGCCCUUCACAACUCCCGAACCCACAUGUAUUUGAUGUAAGAUGCUUUAACCUAUUCUCUAAUGUACAUGCAGUCUGAAAUCCAUUACCAAUUUGGCUUUAGGGAAAUUCAUUCGCACAAGAAGCAAGGCUAAGUUGUACUCCUAAUUGGUAUUGUUCUUAAGCACACCCCAAAAUGAUGUGUAUCAAUUGCAUAUUUUUCUGAAGCUACUAAACCAUUACUGGAUUUUUGUAGUUUUUUUUUCAAAAUACGUCUCUCCUUCGAAGUCAUUUUUUCCUUCUACUCAAUGUUCCGCUGAAAGAGAAUCUCAACAGAGCAAUUGGAAGGAGGAGAAAGCAGCCAGAGAGGAGAAUCUUAGAACAAGAUACAUGCAUCAGUUUAACUCCUAUUCCUGAACCAAUAUACUUUUAUGAUUGAAUUAAAUAAAACAAGUAUUUUUAUAUUUCUAAAAAUCAACGGAUUCUAAUAAUAUUCCGGCAUGCAAAUAAUUUUUCCAUAUGUUUGAGUACAUUGUGUUGCUGUGCAAAUAUGCAGAGAAGGAUCUCAUUUGUGGGGGCAUGGUUAUGUGAAUCGACGUGUUAUCUUGACUAAAUAUCUUCUUACUAUUUGUACAGUGCUGCAAUAUGUAUAGGCUGGUCACCACUUUUACUUAGUUUCAUUAUAUAUAUACUUGCAGCAACCAGCAACUACUAAUUGAAAUUUCUGCUUCACCUGCAAAAAAAAAAAGAAUCUUCCUACAAGAUACAUGUCCAUACUGCUGCGAUGUUUGAUCUAACACUGCAACACGGAUUUAGUGGCGAAGUGGUGCUUGGUCAAGAUCCACUUGUCCCUGUCCUCGCCUACGUCGCAUCACAGCAGCAGCCGCUGACCAUCCCUGAGGAAACCACCGCGUCGCUCCCUACCGAAUCGUGAUCAUCCUGGGUAUCCUGUUUGCUACCAUGGGCGCUCUGAUAGAGCUCAUGGUACUCUCUUGAUGCACAUAAAACGAUCUUAUCAAUUUGUGUUUUGAGGAAUCAAGGGCCUGAAUAAUCGUAGUGCAGAUGCCAAUAACUUGCAGAUACACCAAGGUUUAUGCAAUUGUCCAGACAUUGGUUUAUUGUGAUGUAUUGUAUACUAUGGUUCCAGCAUAUGACCAAAUGAGAGGGAUUGACAAUACAUUAUAUUUUCAUGCAAUCGCUACAAGAACAUUAUAUCGGAUCAUCUCAAUCACGUACAGUCCUACCCAACAUUUUAUGUUGCUGCAUGUUGACUACACCAGUCCGAGCCAAGCUGCAGGAGUUGUAUGGUACCUUUCUCUUCCAACGUCGCCAGACAAGUGACGUAGGAGGUCGUCAUUCCCCAUUAAGCAGCUACAGUUCUUCGCCGAUGAGGUACUGGACGGCAAUUCUCCUGUUUGGGCCACCAGGGAUGGGUGUGCUACUUGGUGAAAAUCAUCACGGCAGAGGCUGAUUUAUCUUCCGAAUGUGAGUGUUGCUUAAAUUUGAGCCGCACAAUUCACUCUCCUGCAAUUUAAGCCUUGUGAUUGUACCAACAGAAAAAGAGCACAUGGAUAAUUUCCUCAAGAAAAUGUUCAAUUGUGAUCCUAAAUCGAUUCUUUGUUUACGAUUAAUUGUAUGUUCAUAUUCUGGUUCUUGUUGCAUAUUGUGAUGCCAAAACUCUUUGAUUGGUAUAGCAACAGUAGCAAGGUGAAUAACAAUGUACGAGUAUAUUGUUGUUAGUUUGACUUUGUGUGGUAGGAUGGCUGGGUAUUUGGAAAGCAAAACUCUUUCCACUUUUGCAGCUAGGCUGGUGUGGAUCAUAUUGCUCCUGUCACAUUGAU